UACGAGGGGGGCGAGCGUUGUUCGGAAUUAUUGGGCGUAAAGGGUGCGUAGGCGGUUUGGUAAGUCUGAUGUGAAAUCUAUCGGGCUCAACUCAUAGUCUGCAUCGGAAACUGCCGUGCUGGAGUGUGGGAGAGGUGAGUGGAAUUCCCGGGUGUAGCGGUGAAAUGCGUAGAGAUGUGGAGGAACACCAGUGGCGAAGGCGGCUUUCUGGUCUGUAACUGACGCUGAGGCGCGAAAGCGUGGGGAGCAAACAGG
rnacentral:rRNA from 1 species